GACAGCAGUAGACAGGUUGGGUUGGGAGGUGACAGCAGUAGACAGGUUGGGUUAGGAGGUGACAGCAGUAGACAGGUUGGGUUGGGAGGUGACAGCAGUAGACAGGUUGGGUUAGGAGGUGACAGCAGUAGACAGGUUGGGUUAGGAGGUGACAGCAGUAGACAGGUUGGGUUGGGAGAUGACAGUAGUAUACAUGUUGGGUUUUGAGGUGACAGCAGUAGCCAGGUUGGGUUAGGAGGUGACAGCAGUAGACAGGUUGGAUUAGGAGGUGACAGCAGUAGACAGCUUGGGGUAGGAGGUGACAGCAGUAGACAGGUUGGGUUAGGAGGUGACAGCAGUAGACAGGUUGGGUUGGGAGGUGACAGCAGUAGACAGGUUGGGUUAUGAGGUGACAGCAGUAGACAGGUUGGGUUAGGAGCUGACAGCAAUAGACAGGUUGGGUUAGGAGUUGACAGCACUAGACAGGUUGGGUUAGGAGGUGACAGCAGUAGACAGGUUGGGUUAGGAGGUGACAGCAGUAGACAGGUUGGGUUAGGAGGUGACAGCAGUAGACAGGUUGGGUUGGGAGGUGACAGCAAUAGACAGGUUGGGUUAGGAGGUGACAGCAAUAGACAGGUUGGGUUAGGAGGUGACAGCACCAGACAGGUUGGGUUAGGAGGUGACAGCAGUAGACAGGUUGGAUUAGGAGGUGACAGUAGUAGACAGGUUGGGUUCAGAGAUGACAGCAAUAGACAGGUUGGGUUAGGAGGUGACAGCACUAGACAGGUUGGGUUAGGAGGUGACAGCAAUAGACAGGUUGGGUUAGGAGGUGACAGCAGUAGACAGGUUGGGUUAGGAGGUGACAGGUUAGUAGACAGGUUAGACAGGUAAGGCUGGGUUGGGAGGUGACAGCAGUAGACAGGUUAUGCUGGGUUGGGAGGUGACAACAGUAGACAGGUUAGGCUGGGUUGGUAGGUGACAGCAGUAGACAGGUUGGGCUGGGCUGGGAGGUGACAGCUGUAGACAGGUUAGGCUGGGCUGGGAGGUGACAGCAGUAGACAGGUUAGACAGGUUAGGCUGGGUUGGGAGGUGACAGCAGUAGACAGGCUAGAGAGUUUAAGCUGGGUUGGGAGGUGAUAGCAGUAGACAGGAUAGAGAGGUUAGGCUGGGUUGGGAAGUGACAGCAGUAGACAGGUUGGGUUGGGAGGUGACAGCAAUAGACAGGUUGGGUUAGGAGGUGACAGCAAUAGACAGGUUGGGUUAGGAGGUGACAGCAACAGACAGGUUGGGUUAGGAGGUGACAGCACCAGACAGGUUGGGUUAGGAGGUGACAGCAGUAGACAGGUUGGAUUAUGAGGUGACAGUAGUAGACAGGUUGGGUUCAGAGAUGACAGCAAUAGACAGGUUGGGUUAGGAGGUGACAGCACUAGACAGGUUGGGUUAGGAGGUGACAGCAAUAGACAGGUUGGGUUAGGAGGUGACAGCAGUAGACAGGUUGGGUUAGGAGGUGACAGGUUAGUAGACAGGUUAGACAGGUAAGGCUGGGUUGGGAGGUGACAGCAGUAGACAGGUUAGGCUGGGUUGGGAGGUGACAGCAGUAGACAGGUUAGGCUGGGUUGGGAGGUGACAGCAGUAGACAGGUUAGGCUGGGCUGGGAGGUGACAGCAGUAGACAGGUUAGGCUGGGUUGGGAGGUGACAGCAGUAGACUGGGUUAGACAGGUUAGGCUGGGUUGGGAGUGGACAGCAGUAAACUGGGUUAGACGGGUUAGGCUGGGUUGGGAGGUGACAGCAGUAAACUGGGUUAGACAGGUUAGGCUGGGUUGGGAGGUGACAGCAGUAAACUGGGUUAGACAGGUUAGGCUGGGCUGGGAGGUGACAGCUGUAGACUGGUUAGGCUGGGUUGGGAGGUGACAGCAGUAGACAGGUUAGAGAGGUUAGGCUGGGUUGGGAGGUGACAGCAGUAGACAGGUUAUGCUGGGUUGGGAGGUGACAGCAGUAGACAGGGUAGAGAGGUUAUGCUGGGUUGGGAGAUGACAGCAGUAGACAGGAUAGAGAGGUUAGGCUGGGUUGGGAGGUGACAACAGUAGACAGGUUAGGCUGGGUUGGGAGGUGACAGCAGUAGACAGGUUAGGCUGGGUUGGGAGGUGACAGCAGUAGACAGGUUAGACAGGUUAGGCUGGGUUGGGAGAUGACAGCAGUAGACAGGUUAGACAGGUUAGGCUGGGCUGGGAGGUGACAGCAGUAGACAGGUUAGGCUGGGUUGGGAGGUGACAGCAGUAGACAGGUUAGACAGGUUAGGCUGGGUUGGGAGGUGACAGCAGUAGACAGGUUAGGCUGGGUUGGGAGGUGACAACAGUAGACAGGUUAGGCUGGGUUGGGAGGUGACAGCAGUAGACAGGUUGACAGGUUAGGCUGGGUUGGGAGGUGACAGCAGUAGACAGGUUAGGCUGGGUUGGGAGGUGACAGCAGUAGACAGGUUAGGCUGGGUUGGGAGGUGACAACAGUAGACAGGUUAGGCUGGGUUGGGAGGUGACAGCAGUAGACAGGUUUGACAGGUUAGGCUGGGUUGGGAGGUGACAGCAGUAGACAGGUUAGACAGGUUAGGCUGGGUUGGGAGGUGACAGCAGUAGACAGGUUAGGCUGGGUUGGGAGGUGACAGCAGUAGACAGG